UACGUAGGGUGCGAGCGUUGUCCGGAAUUAUUGGGCGUAAAGGGCUCGUAGGCGGUUUGUCGCGUCGGGAGUGAAAUCAUCUGGCUUAACUGGGUGCUUGCUUUCGAUACGGGCAGACUAGAGGUAUGCAGGGGAGAACGGAAUUCCUGGUGUAGCGGUGAAAUGCGCAGAUAUCAGGAGGAACACCGGUGGCGAAGGCGGUUCUCUGGGCAUGAUCUGACGCUGAGGAGCGAAAGUGUGGGGGAGCGAACAGG
rnacentral:rRNA from 1 species